GCCAGCAUGGUGCCAUGGUUUGAGUUCUGGACUGGGACUCCGGGAAACCAGGGUUCAAAUCCCUGUUCAGCCA